AAUAGAUACCCGGGUAGUCCUAGCCGUAAACGAUACUCGCUAGGUGUCGGCCACGGUGCGACCGUUGUCGGUGCCGUAGGGAAGCCGUGAAGCGAGCCACCUGGGAAGUACGGCCGCAAGGCUGAAACUUAAAGGAAUUGGCGGGGGAGCACCACAACGGGUGGAGCUGCGGUUUAAUUGGAUUCAACGCCGGAAAUCUUACCGGGACCGACAGCAAUAUGAAGGCCAGGCUGAAGACUUUGCCGGAUUAGCUGAGAGGUGGUGCAUGGCCGUCGUCAGUUCGUACUGUGAAGCAUCCUGUUAAGUCAGGCAACGAGCGAGACCCACGCCCACAGUUGCCAGCGUACUCUCUGGAGUGACGGGUACACUGUGGGGACCGCCGCUGCUAAAGCGGAGGAAGGAAUGGGCAACGGUAGGUCAGUAUGCCCCGAAUAUCCCGGGCUACACGCGAGCUACAAUGGUUGGUACAAUGGGUAUCUACCCCGAAAGGGGACGGGAAUCUCCUAAAAACCCAAUCUUAGUUCGGAUUGAGGGCUGCAAACUCGCCCUCA
rnacentral:rRNA from 1 species